UACGUAGGGGGCAAGCGUUGUCCGGAGUUACUGGGCGUAAAGCGCCCGCAGGCGGUUGGGGAAGUAGGUGGUGACAGCUCUCGGCUUCACUGAGAGAGUGCCGCCUAGACUGCCCGGCUUGAGGGCCAGAGAGGGACAUGGAACUCCGGGUGGAGUGGUGAAAUGCGUAGAGAUCCGGAAGAACACCAAAGGCGAAGGCAGUGUCCUGGCUGGUACCUGACGCUCAGGGGCGAAAGCGAGGGGAGCGAACGGGAUUAGAUACCCGGUAGUCC
rnacentral:rRNA from 1 species